rnacentral:lncRNA from 1 species
UGAACGCCGGGUGAGCUACCCGGAUGGCUCUUCCGGUUCUUUGUGCGGCCUUCACCCAGUGAGGGAGCCUGUGCCCCCUGCCCAGUCGCUUUCGGGGCGCUGAGGAGCUUCCGCUGCCAUCUUCGGAUGCUGUGUCCCGCACGGAGGGUCCACCAGGGCAGGGAUAGUGGUUCAAACAAUACAGAAGUGUAUAAAGUAAGAAUUGAAAGUCUCUUCGCUGCUCUAAUCUCACUCCUCAGAGGUGAUCACUGGACCUGAGUGAGCAGAAGGCUUUUCAGAAUUACAGCCUGAACUAUUUCUUGAGCAAUUUGGGAACUCAUUUCUAAAGCAGUCCUCAGAUUCACACAACGUAGUUUGUGACGGAGUAUGCCCAGAGCAGUGUGGAAGAUGAUCAAAGUAUGACAUUUCUUCUACCCCAGAGGCUGGCAUUUCUGCAGGCACAAAUGAGCUUGGUUUUCAAGCACUGCUCUUUGAACACAAGGAAUUCCUUUAAUGAUCACGCCGGACUAUAUAGACUUUGGAAUCAGACUCUUUGAAUUCCAGCUCUGCCAUUUACCAACUUUGACACUUUGGACAACGUCUCAUUCUGUCACCCAGGCUGGAGUGCAGUGGCACAAUUAUAGCUCACUGCAGCCUCAAACACCUGGGCUCAAGCAAUCCUUCCACCUCUGCCUCCUGAGUAAUUGGGACUACAGGCAUGUGCCACCACACCCAGCUAAUUUUUAAUUUUUAAUUUUUUUGUAGAGAUGGCGGUCUUGCUAUGUCACCCAGGCUGGUCUUGAACACCUGGCCUCAAGUGAUCCUCCGGCCUUGGUCUCUCAAAGCUCUGGGAUUACAGACAUGAGCCACUGCACCCGGCUCUAUCUCCCCUUCCUAUGUGUGUUAGCUCUAGAACAAGAGAAGCCUUGUUGAGAUUCCUGGCUGCCCACCCCCCAUCACCUCUCUGACUUUGGGCAAGUUGCCUGGCCUCUCUCAGCCUUUAUUUUCUUUUUGUGAAAUGGGGAUAAUAAUAGUACUUGCCUCAUAGGCAAAAUGUUGUGAGAACUAAACGAGAAAAUGCAUGUAAAGCACUUGGCACUUAGUUCUUUUUAUGAUUAUAAUGAUAAUCAGACACAAUAAAUUAUGUCUCACAUCACAUGC